UUCGGGGUACUCGAGUGGCGAACGGGUGAGUAACACGUGGGUGAUCUGCCCUGCACUUUGGGAUAAGCCUGGGAAACUGGGUCUAAUACCGAAUAGGACCACGCGCUUCAUGGUGUGUGGUGGAAAGCUUUUGCGGUGUGGGAUGGGCCCGCGGCCUAUCAGCUUGUUGGUGGKGUAAUGGCCUACCAAGGCGACGACGGGUAGCCGGCCUGAGAGGGUGACCGGCCACACUGGGACUGAGAUACGGCCCAGACUCCUACGGGAGGCAGCAGUGGGGAAUAUUGCACAAUGGGCGCAAGCCUGAUGCAGCGACGCCGCGUGAGGGAUGACGGCCUUUCGGGUUGUAAACCUCUUUCAAUAGGGACGAAGCGNGAGUGACGGUACCUAUAGAAGAAGCACCGGCCAACUACGUGCCAGCAGCCGCGGUAAUACGUAGGGUGCGAGCGUUGUCCGGAAUUACUGGGCGUAAAGAGCUCGUAGGUGGUUUGUCGCGUUGUUCGUGAAAACUCACAGCUUAACUGUGGGCGUGCGGGCGAUACGGGCAGACUAGAGUACUGCAGGGGAGACUGGAAUUCCUGGUGUAGCGGUGGAAUGCGCAGAUAUCAGGAGGAACACCGGUGGCGAAGGCGGGUCUCUGGGCAGUAACUGACGCUGAGGAGCGAAAGCGUGGGGAGCGAACAGGAUUAGAUACCCUGGUAGUCCACGCCGUAAACGGUGGGUACUAGGUGUGGGUUCCUUCCUUGGGAUCCGUGCCGUAGCUAACGCAUUAAGUACCCCGCCUGGGGAGUACGGCCGCAAGGCUAAAACUCAAAGGAAUUGACGGGGGCCCGCACAAGCGGCGGAGCAUGUGGAUUAAUUCGAUGCAACGCGAAGAACCUUACCUGGGUUUGACAUGCACAGGACGCCGGCAGAGAUGUCGGUUCCCUUGUGGCCUGUGUGCAGGUGGUGCAUGGCUGUCGUCAGCUCGUGUCGUGAGAUGUUGGGUUAAGUCCCGCAACGAGCGCAACCCUUGUCCUAUGUUGCCAGCGGGUUAUGCCGGGGACUCGUAGGAGACUGCCGGGGUCAACUCGGAGGAAGGUGGGGAUGACGUCAAGUCAUCAUGCCCCUUAUGUCCAGGGCUUCACACAUGCUACAAUGGCCGGUACAAAGGGCUGCGAUGCCGUGAGGUGGAGCGAAUCCUUUCAAAGCCGGUCUCAGUUCGGAUCGGGGUCUGCAACUCGACCCCGUGAAGUGGAAGUCGCUAGUAAUCGCAGAUCAGCAACGCUGCGGUGAAUACGUUCCCGGGCCUUGUACACACCGCCCGUCACGUCAUGAAAGUCGGUAACACCCGAAGCCC
rnacentral:rRNA from 1 species